rnacentral:rRNA from 1 species
CGGUUAAGUUAGAAAGGGCGCACGGUGGAUGCCUUGGCACUAGGAGCCGAUGAAGGACGGGACGAACACCGAUAUGCUUCGGGGAGCUGUAAGCAAGCUUUGAUCCGGAGAUUUCCGAAUGGGGAAACCCACUGCUCGU